rnacentral:sRNA from 1 species
AUUUUUACCCAUCCGUCAUCGCGGGAGCAAAUCUUUUGGAAACAACAAACAAAAAAAAAGUUUAACAUACAUAUAUAUGGGUACAUAAGUACCAGGAUAAGUAAUCAUAAUUUAUAUAGUGUAAGUACUUAGUGACGGAACAUUGAAUAUUUACUUUCUAGAACCAUCGCUAGACUCAUAUGCAUGCAUACCAAUGGAGAUCCAAGUCCCUUUAUGAUAUGGAUACAUAGUUUCUUUCCUGCUUGAUCUACCUACACCACUCGGAAACAAAAAGCUCCAAACGCCAACACAAAACCCAAACCACCCUCAUCGACGUUUAGCCAUUCCCGUAAUCGUCAAGGAUCCCUCGCCAACCUCGACCUUCCAUCCUUCAUUAGCCAAAGCCCGCGCAACCGCUGGACCCAGUCUCGCAGUGCCAUUCUUUGAAUGGCGACCGAGGCCCGUGAUGAUGCGAUAGCCCUGCUGCACGGGACCCCAGCCGCCAGGAGCAUAUUUGGUAUCACCAAGUGAAUACCACCAGGCAUCAAGCUUCUUCUUCGCGAUGUCAACCGCAUGUUGUACGCUAACGCCGUGCAGGUCCAGCAAUGUGCUGUUGGACUGCAACUCUACGAGUGCCUCUGCCGCAGCUGCGGCUUCCCUUUUGGCUUUUUCCACAUGUUCACGACCCACCGCGGAGUAGUACCCAGCGGCACCACCCAUGAGGCGAUCUGAUUUGGCGCGGCGAUAGGCUGAAUUGGCCUUGGCAAAAGCGCUGUGGCCUGCGAUGAUGUGCGAGUCUGCUAUCGCUCUGCUGGUGAGGUGGUCGCGGGGCGGCUCUCGUGUCCAUGACCGGGAAUUCUGAGUCUGAGCUGGAAAUUCACUGAGAUCCACAGGUGCUUGUUGUAUUUGGACGAUUUCUGUCGGAGGUGGGCGUGGUGCAGCGGUUGUCAUCACGGUCGCAAGCUCACUGGCUGCUGAGGUUGAGUUCCUGGCUAGUCGAAGCAAUCCGGCAAGCUUCUCGGAGGAAAGUUUAUGGAACUCCUGCUUCAGUUCUGCUAUUUGCGUGACUGUGACUGACUUAUCCAUCAUGGAAUUUGCGUGUCGCUCCGCCUCCGCAGACGCGAGGGAGUGCAAUGUUUUUGGGAGGGAUGCUCCGUUUGUAUGGUAGGCAGAAAUAACGAACUUGGGCGAGAGAUGAUGCAAUCGACUGAGGAAGCGAUCCUUGCCUUUUUACAGACCGCUUACUUUUCGCCCACUUACGUUCUCUUGAGUGGAUAUCGCCUUCGAACCCAUCUAUUCCCUUCGGUAUUGACACUUUGUCUUCCUGAUCAUCAGCGCUUCGGUCUUCAAAAAACGCCAGGUUGAGCAAAACAUCCAUCGAGCGGUCAAUAUCCUCGCCACAUUUUCUCAAAGUAUGGACAAUCGUGAAUUGGUCAAUUGACGGAAACAUAUCCAUUAAAUACGUCCUCUUACCCUCGAAAGUCAAUCCUGUAAUUUGCGAAACACGGUUAGAGGACAGGGGGGAAUCAGUAUGGUUUCCACUCCAGGGUUCACCAGAACGAGUGGGCUCCAGGUUCUCCUCCAAACUAAACGCAGAGAAAUCAGAUUCGAUAGUCGCAAGAGUCGACGUCAAAGAGUUUUUUGUUGGAUGUGAUCCAUGUUCCUCUGACGCGAACUCGUCAUGAUCCCCCGCUACAAAAUCCCGGCCGCUUGUGCCAGAAGGAUCGAAUGUAGCAUUCUCUUGCUCAUCAGCUGAAGUCUUCAGCGCAUCUAGAGUGUCGCGCAGUUGCCGAACACUACCGUCGUCGAGAAGGUUAUAAUCGCUUGCUAUAGCCACGAAAAGUGCGGGAUCCAGCGGAGGGCAGUAUUCAUUUUCUAAGCCCUAUCACAAGAAGGCAUAUUAGAUAGAUGUUAGCAAAAUUUUACCGGUGAAGGGUAGGAUACGCGAUAGUUGCAUUACCACGAACAUUCUUGAGGCUAUCAACCGGAUCAUCCAUCGGGAAAAUCGGAGCACUUAGGUUGGGAGGCGGGUUUAUGAAGCAAUGGCAUUGCUCUGGACGAAUGGAAACUAGUGGUAGAUUGACUCCAGAGUUCCAUGUAGUGUAGAAGCAACGUCAAAAACAAAUGGCACACAAUGGGUCGAGAUGUUCCUGGAAACGCGAACGUUGUGUACAAAGAAAAGAGAGUUGGCAAAGGGAAGCUUCUCAGCAGGGAACGUGUUUUGUUUUAAUUCUCAAGAUGAACACGACAAAUGCACAGGCUGAUGAAUCACCACCAAAAUCGACUCUGGCAGCUAGAUCACGACUAGUAUCCGACGGACAGAGAUGAGAUCAGAUGGCCCCUAUGAAGACGAAAGACAAAUUGG